GUGCUCGCUUAGGCAGCACAUACACUAAAAAAUCAGAAUGAUACAGAGAAGAUUAGCAUAGCCCCUGUGCAAGGAUGACACACAAAUUCGUGAAGCAUUCCAUAUAAAA